rnacentral:rRNA from 1 species
UGGGGAAUCUUGCGCAAUGGGCGAAAGCCUGACGCAGCGACGCCGCGUGGGUGAUGAAGGCCUUCGGGUUGUAAAGCCCUGUGGGGAGGAACGAAUAAGGCAGGGUGAAUAUCCCUGUUGAUGACGGUACCUCCUUAGCAAGCACCGGCUAACUCUGUGCCAGCAGCCGCGGUAAGACAGAGGGUGCAAACGUUGUUCGGAAUUACUGGGCGUAAAGCGCGUGUAGGCGGCUUGCCAAGUCGGGUGUGAAACCCCUGGGCUCAACCCGGGAAGUGCAUUCGAUACUGGCGAGCUGGAGUCCCGGAGAGGAUGGUGGAACUCUCGGUGUAGAGGUGAAAUUCGUAGAUAUCGGGAAGAACAUCGGUGGCGAAGGCGGCCAUCUGGACGGUGACUGACGCUG